AUGGCGACCGGCGCACGGGUGAGUAACGCGUAUGCAACUUACCUAUCAGAGGGGGAUAGCCCGGCGAAAGUCGGAUUAAUACCCCAUAAAACAGGGGUCCCGCAUGGGAAUAUUUGUUAAAGAUUCAUCGCUGAUAGAUAGGCAUGCGUUUCAUUAGGCAGUUGGCGGGGUAACGGCCCACCAAACCGACGAUGGAUAGGGGUUCUGAGAGGAAGGUCCCCCACAUUGGAACUGAGACACGGUCCAA
rnacentral:rRNA from 1 species